rnacentral:misc_RNA from 1 species
GAUGAAGAACGCAGCGAAAUGCGAUACGUAAUGUGAAUUGCAAAUUCAGUGAAUCAUCGAGUCUUUGGACGCACAUUGCGCCCCCUGGUAUUCCGGGGGGCAUGCCUGUCCGAGCGUCAUUGCUGCCCUCAAGCACGGCUUGUGUGUUGGGCCCCGUCCUCCGAUCCCGGGGGACGGGCCCGAAAGGCAGCGGCGGCACCGCGUCCGGUCCUCGAGCGUAUGGGGCUUUGUCACCCGCUCUGUAGGCCCGGCCGGCGCUUGCCGAUCAACCCAAAUUUUUAUCCAGGUUGACCUCGGAUCAGGUAGGGAUACCCGCUGAACUUAAGCAUAUCAAUAAGCGGAGGA